rnacentral:rRNA from 1 species
CCUACGGGAGGCAGCAGUGGGGAAUUUUGGACAAUGGGCGAAAGCCUGAUCCAGCCAUGCCGCGUGCAGGAUGAAGGCCUUCGGGUUGUAAACUGCUUUUGUACGGAGCGAAAAGCCUCUUUCUAAUAAAGAGGGGUCAUGACGGUACCGUAAGAAUAAGCACCGGCUAACUACGUGCCAGCAGCCGCGGUAAUACGUAGGGUGCGAGCGUUAAUCGGAAUUACUGGGCGUAAAGCGUGCGCAGGCGGUUAUAUAAGACAGUUGUGAAAUCCCCGGGCUCAACCUGGGAACUGCAUCUGUGACUGUAUAGCUAGAGUACGGUAGAGGGGGAUGGAAUUCCGCGUGUAGCAGUGAAAUGCGUAGAUAUGCGGAGGAACACCGAUGGCGAAGGCAAUCCCCUGGACCUGUACUGACGCUCAUGCACGAAAGCGUGGGGAGCAAACAGGAUUAGAUACCCUGGUAGUCCACGCCCUAAACGAUGUCAACUGGUUGUUGGGAAUUCACUUUCUCAGUAACGAAGCUAACGCGUGAAGUUNACCGCCUGGGGGUACGGCCGCAAGGUUGAACUUAAAGGAAUUGACGGCUGAGAGNGCGAGACGACGACGAGGGAGAGG